GGAUUAGGCAUUGCAAGUCGUACGUGAUCCUCGCUUCGGUGAGGUGAAAGUGGCGAACGGGUGAGUAAUGCAUAGCUAACCUACCCUUGGUACGGGGAUAACCAGGAGAAAUCUUGGCUAAUACCCGAUAGGCUCGCGGGGUUGCAUGGCCCUGCGAGUAAAGAAGGCCUCUUAGCAAUGCUUUCGACCGAGGACGGGACUAUGUCCUAUCAGCUAGUUGGUAGGGUAAUGGCCUACCAAGGCAAUGACGGGUAGCCGACCUGAGAGGGUGACCGGCCACACUGGGACUGAGACACUGCCCAGACUCCUACGGGAGGCUGCAGUCGAGAAUCUUCCGCAAUGGGGGAAACCCUGACGGAGCGACGCCGCGUGCGGGAUGAAGGCCUUCGGGUUGUAAACCGCUGUCACGCAUUAAGAAGGGUCCGGCGUUAACAGCGCUGGGCUUUGACGAAGGUGCGGGAGGAAGCCACGGCUAACUCUGUGCCAGCAGCCGCGGUAAGACAGAGGUGGCGACCGUUGUUCGGAAUCACUGGGCAUAAAGCGCGCGUAGGCGGCAUGGUAAGUCGGGUGUGAAAUCCCUCGGCCCAACCGAGGAAUUGCGCUCGAAACUACCGUGCUUGAGGACAGGAGGGGAGCCUGGAAUUCCUGGUGGAGCGGUGAAAUGCGUUGAUAUCAGGAGGAACACCGGCGGCGAAGGCGAGGCUCUGGCCUGUUUACUGACGCUGAGGCGCGAAAGCUAGGGGAGCAAACGGGAUAGAUACCCCGGUAUCCCUAGUCGGAACGAU
rnacentral:rRNA from 1 species